GAGUUUGAUCAUGGCUCAGGACGAACGAUGGCGGCGUGCCUAAUACAUGCAAGUCGAGCGAAUCUUAAGGAGCUUGCUCCUUAAGAUUAGCGGCGGACGGGUGAGUAACACGUGGGCAACCUGCCUGUAAGACUGGGAUAACACCGGGAAACCGGUGCUAAUACCGGAUAAUUCUUCACCUCUCAUGAGGUGAAGCUGAAAGUGGGUUUCGGCUGACACUUACAGAUGGGCCCGCGGCGCAUUAG
rnacentral:rRNA from 1 species